CCCAAUUAUACACAUGUAUUGAUAGUAAACAUGUACAAAUGGAUAUGUAAAUCAUUACAAAACUUAUUUUUAAGAAAAAUCAUCAUUUUGAAAGGCUACGGGUAAAUUAUUGUAAAUAGCAGAUUAUUUGUAUAUUAUGUAUUUAUAGAUUAAGAAUACACACUGCUUGUAAUAUAAUUGUUAAAUUUGGAUUUUGUAAAUUAUAAAGUUAUACAUUGUAUUUGGGAGAUAUUUUAUAAUAAUUUAAGAAGUAUGAACAAGUUAAAUUAUUGACGUGCAUGUUGGAAGUUGAGUUUUCACUAGUAUAUUUGAUGAGCUUUUACAAAGAGAUGAUAUAUAAAAUCCUAUAGGGCACUUAUAUUGCAUAAAAAUAUUAAAUUUAUCAGUUCUUGUCAUGUGCAUGUUAUUUCAUUUUGUUUAUUUGUGUCCCAAGUUGCAAGCUUGUACUUCACUGCAAUGUGAUUUGUUGCUUUUUUAUCAAUUUUUUGUUUACGGGACAUAUUGUGGUAUACUACUGUCUGUCCCUCCUUCGUCAACAUGUUGGACAAAACCUUAAAACCAAGUUUCAUUUAACUUUGGUGAAUUAUUGAGAUCUAUUGACAUGAACUCCUUUUCCAUUUUUAUACAUUUUCAAUUAAGGUUUCUAAAUUAUAAGAAUAGUUAAAACAUAUUUAUUUAUAGUGGAUUGGGAAACAAGUUAUUGCAACUUAUAAUAAUCCCUUUCCACUUUGCGGGUGCGAGUGCUGCAUUAGCCUGCUCUUUUUUUAAAUCUACAAAGGUGUCUUUUAUGUGCAAGAGAUAUGUCUCUCUCUUUACAAGGGUCGCCCAUUUAUCAUCCUCUUCCAGUGGACUAUCAUUGUUUUCUCGAGACCAUACUCACAAAUGGUGUCAAGGUAGAACCGAAAAUUCAGUUCCUGAAGUUUUCACCCUUGAGCGGACCUGAUAAGGAACCUUUGUGUUAGUAGUCUGAUGCACUAACCAAUACACCACGGCUCUCUUAAUUAUUGGGUGUUAUUCAUAAAAAAAGGGGUAUUCUCCAGUAUUCAGACAAUAACUCACAAAUGCUUAAAGCAGUUUUCAAGAAAUUUUGGUGAAUUCUUUAUAUUUAUUGACUAUUCACUGUUCAAUUUUUGUAAAUUUAAGAUUUUUUCGUUUCCAAGUUGCCAGGUUCUAUUCAUUAAAAAAAGAAGUUAUUAAAGUUUAAAGGACAGAACUCAAAAGUGAUUUGAUUUCAUACGCCCCUUUACGGGAUGUAUUAUUGUUUACUGUUGUCCAUUUGUCAGUCUGUCUGUCUGUUGUCAGCAUGUUGGGCAUUAACUCAAAAACGCUUUAACCAAUAUGCAUUAAACUUUGGUUAAUUGUUAAUAUCUAUUGACAUGAGAUCCUUUUCAGUUUUUAUGCCCCACCUACGAUAGUAGAGGGGCAUUAUGUUUUCUGGUCUACGUCCGUUCGUCUGUUCGUUCGUUUGUCCGUUCGUCCCACUUCAGGUUAAAGUUUUUGGUCAAGGCAGUUUUUGAUGAAGUUGAAGUCCAAUCAACUUGAAACUUAGUACACAUCUUCCCUAUGAUAUGAUCUUUCUAAUUUUAAUGCCAUAUUAGAGUUUUGACCCCAAUUUCACGGUCCAUUGAACAUAGAAAAUGAUAGUGCAAGUUUCAGGUUAAAGUUUUUGGUCAAGGUAGUUUUUGAUGAAGUUGAAGUCCAAUCAACUUGAAACUUAGUACACAUGUGCCCUAUGAUAUGAUCUUUCUAAUUUUAAUGCCAAAUUAGAGUUUUUACCCCAAUUUUACGAUCCACUUAACAUAGAAAAUGAUAGUGCGAGUGGGGCAUCCGUGUAAUAUCGACACAUUCUUGUUUUUUAUAAAUUUUGAUUGAUACGUUUCAGAGUUUUUUGAUUUUAUUCAUUAAAAAUGGUAGAUUUUCCAAUUUUUGGACAAUAACUCACAAACACUCACCAAUUUGCAAGAAUAUUUGGUGAAUUGUUUAUAUCUAUUGACAUGAGCUCCCAUUCGAUUUUUAUAGAUUUUAAAUUUUACGUUUCCAAGAUAUGAGGUUUUAUUUUAUAAUUUAUGACAAAAAGGUGGAUUUCCUGGUUUUCGGACAAUAACUCAAAAAUGUUUUCAGCAGUUUUCAUGAAACUUUGGAUAAUUGUUUAUAUAAACAAAAGAAGUUGUUUUAUGAUUGCCAAUAAUACAACUCUCCACAAGAGACCAAAUGAAACAGAAAAUAACAACUAUAGCCAAAUGAAACCAAACAUAGCCUUAAUUAUCCUUUGGGUUUCUAGUUUUAAAAAUGUAUCUGAUGGCUCCACGAAUCAACCAAGAUGACCGCCAUAGCUAAAUAUAGAACAUGGGGGUUUUUGGCUUGUUCCAAUUUGUUUUAUCACUAAAAUUACGAAAUUCUCAAAUUUAUUUAUGUGAUUGAUUGUUAAUCUACUUGUAAUGAACUUAAUAAUAAAUUUCAAUGCUUACUGUCUUUAAACAAUAC
rnacentral:lncRNA from 1 species